GCAGUACAGAGGUAAUACGUUCACCUCGAAAGGACUUCUUAUUGAUAUAGGAUACUGAUAGCUGGUCUCAAAUUACUACGCUUCCAAUGCAAGUAAUUGCAACUUGCCCUCUUCUAUUCACCAAUACGGCUACGCAAACCAUCCCAUUGGCAUCGCCUUGCCAUCUGGUCAAAACGGAGGGAUAAAAAGCCCCUUAUUCAACCUACCUUUGGGAUCAUAUUUUGUUUUGAUAUGCCGGAGUCGUUCGUAGUUGGGCCCGAAGAUCUAUGGCACAGACAACAUCAGCUUUGCCUCUUGGGACCGACUCCUAGUUGACCUCGAUGCCGUGAAAGAGGAAGACGUAGAGGAGCGAGCGAGGAAAAAUGCGAUUGCCCUACUCACCUGGUUCAAAUCUUCAGACCCGUUGAUAAAGGCCGGCCAAUAUUCGCCGGGCUUAUGUGAAGGGCAUAUCUGCGUGGGGGCUUUUUCUAGCAGGCCCAAAGCUAGCUCCUGGGAACAGUCUGCUCCCGGAGGAUGUCCGACAACCAAUUGAAGAACAUGUUGUGGCUUUGUAUGAGGCCAAGCUGUCAUGUUGGGCCCUCCAGAAGAUGUUAAGGCACCCUGCGGAAAGGAGUCAAUAACGGGCCUGAGCGGUAAUGUUUGAAAUGCCACUCACUUUGCCCAAGACUUCCAGAACAACCAAGGUACCAGACCCCAAAGCCUUGUUCGCCUCCACUGCCUGCUCGUAGAAUUUUGCUAUUCUUACAACAAAGUCGGGAUCAAUUGAACUAGUGUCGACAAGUGGUGAAGACAACAUGAUGGUAUUACCCGCUAGCGAUCGAAGCGAGGCUGAGAAGAAACGAGUGCGUCAGGAACAAUGCAAUACCACCGACUUAAGUUUUGUGUCUAUACGUACCUCCCUCCUCAUUCACCUCGCGGAUAUUCAUCACCUUGGUCAUGUCCACUGCGCCUUCAAUGUCGAAGGCCCAUUUGAAACCCAAUUCGCUUCUCCCAUGCUCCUCUCCAUGGGAAUCAAAUAUUAUGAUUGCAAUACCGGGCUGCGGGACAUCGUCCGUGUCCGUAGGCGGAUCGAAGUUCAUAACAAUGACGUGUGCCCCAAGUUUUGGAUCGGUGCAUCGUUUCAUGAAAUCGGACAGUCCUUGAGACACAGCUUUCAUUGCAGUCUUGGGGAACGCAAUCGUUCCCGCAUGAAUCUUUUGUGGGCAACGGUGCACCUUGACUUUGAAGGCAGAAACAACUGAUCCCCAGAACCCAGUCAAACGCUGAAAUCACUUGGGGCUACUAGAGGAUGAAAGUUACGGCCAACGUACCUCCAAAGUUCCCACCUCCACCACGAAGUGCCCAGAGAAGAUCUGGCUCCGUCGAGGCCCAGAGCAUUCUACCAUCAGGUAGCACGACAUGGGCGUCAAGAAGGUUAUGAGGGUCUGAGCAAAGGCCAUGCUCUCCGGAAAACCACGACAUCCCUCCAAGGAGAAGUGAACCUGCAACCCCAACGAAGGGCACCCUAGUGCUCAAAACUGCAUAACAAAAAAAGAAAAGAGAAGGUAAAAAUUAAUAAACGGCCGUAAAACUCGAGAAUACACACGUCAUCGGGACAAACCUGUAUACCCCGGAGCCGCCUCCUCCACCUUCCUAUCAACCUCUCCCCACGUCUGGCCAGCACCGAUAGUUACCGUCUCGCUAUCCUGAUCGAAUUCAAAGCUGUCGAAAGCACUCAUACUCAGCUGAACAUGCUUCGCACCGGAUGUAUUAUUACCACCGGAUCGGACCGAGAAAUCUAGGUCUGAGGCACAGAGGUACUGAACAGUUUUCUGGAGAGCAGGGAGCGACUUUGGCCGUAGAACCAGUUGCGGUUUAGGAUUCUUGUAUGCGGUCCAGAAAUCCGUUGCUGAGGCAUACCGGUCGGAGGUAGGUUCGAUGAUUUCUUCAUCGGUCAGAAAGCUCCGAAUAGUUGUUCUUCCUUCAGAGGGGAGCGCCAUUGUGUUGUCUGUUAUACCGGAUCGAACAAAAAGAGCUUCCUUUGCUGUUCUUCCUGGUGGUGUGUAGGAGGUAUACAACUAAGCGUUGGGUCAAGAAGAUUGCAUCUGACAUGCGCUACCCGCCCUUUCUUUUAUGUAAAGUAGUUUUCCAAGUUCCUAUUAAUAAGUUGGGGCAUCCACUGGACAUACAACAUCCCUGUUACUGUCUGUCGGGGUAAUCUUGACCUGGAGUUGAAGCUUGCGGAGCUAGUGAGAGCGGCCAAUAAUGACAACAGACAGUCACCAGCGUCCUGUUUUAGGAACGGGGAA
rnacentral:sRNA from 1 species